AUGGAAGAAGCGGCCGAGGAGCGAGCGGCCGCGCCGGGCGCCGCCGAGCUUGAGGAUGCGGCGGAGAACGGGACGGAGGGGGAGGGAGGCUCUGCUCCCGCGGCAGAGGAGGACGCUGCUGCUGCUGCUGCGGCGGCGUACUCGUGGCCUGAGCUCCGCUUCGAUCUCCCGCCGCGCCGCCGGUACCACUUCGCCGACCAGUUCCGCUCCCCCUGCUCCUCCUCCACCGGUAACUUCCUCAAGGGCGUCAAGUGGUCGCCCGACGGCUCCUCCUUCCUCACCAGCUCCGACGACAACUCCCUCCGCAUGUUCUACCUGCCGGAGGACGCGUACAGUGCUGCGGCGGAGCACACCGCAGAGGCUGCCGUCGGAGGCCAAGACUCCUAUGGCGCAAGCCUCCAGGUGAACGAGGGCGAGCCCGUGUACGACUUCUGCUGGUACCCCUACAUGUCCGUGUCUGAUCCAGCCACCUGUGUAUUUGCCAGCACGAGUCGUGAUCAUCCGAUACACCUCUGGGAUGCCACCACCAGCGAGCUUCGAUGCACUUACAGAGCAUACGACGCCAUGGAUGAGAUAACGGCUGCACUUUCGAUAUCAUUUAAUUCUACAGGAUCCAAGCUUUUUGCUGGAUACAACAAAGCAAUCAGAGUGUUUGAUGUUCAUCGGCCUGGUAGAGAUUUUGAGCAAUACUCUUUGCUUAAAGGGGGUGAAGGGCCAACUGGUAUAAUAUCUUCAAUCUCGUUCUCUCCUCAAAAUGGGAUGCUCGCAGUUGGCUCGUAUAGCCAGACAACAGCUGUUUAUGCGGAGGGUAACAUGGAGCCAUUAUAUGUUCUACAUGGCCAGCUUGGGGGUGUUACACAGGUGCUUUUUUCGAAAGAUGGAAAUUAUUUAUAUACUGGAGGGCGGAAGGAUCCAUACAUAUUAUGUUGGGAUAUUCGGAACACCGUGGACAUUGUUUACAAGUUGUACAGAUCGUGUGAUACUACUAAUCAAAGAGUACAGUUUGAUAUUGAGCCCUGUGGCAAGCAUCUUGCCACUGGUGGGCAGGACGGCAUGGUCCAUAUUUACGACCUUCAAGGUGGCCAAUGGGUGACAGGGUUCCAAGCAGCUGCUGAUACUGUCAACGGUUUCUCCUUCCAUCCAUACCUUCCUCUUGCUACAACAUCGUCUGGGCACAGAAGGUUUGGUAUGCAAGAUGAAUUUGAAGAGGAAUCGAGUUUGGCAGGUGAUGAGAACUGCUGCUCUGUCUGGAAGUUUUCUUGCUCACAAGAAUCUUGA
rnacentral:rRNA from 1 species